rnacentral:rRNA from 1 species
GACGAACGCUGGCGGCGUGCUUAACACAUGCAAGUCGAACGGAAAGGCCCUGCUUGCAGGGUACUCGAGUGGCGAACGGGUGAGUAACACGUGGGUGAUCUGCCCUGCACUUCGGGAUAAGCCUGGGAAACUGGGUCUAAUACCGGAUAGGAGCCAUUUUUAGUGUGAUGGUUGGAAAGUUUUUUCGGUGUAGGAUGAGCUCGCGGCCUAUCAGCUUGUUGGUGGGGUAAUGGCCUACCAAGGCGGCGACGGGUAGCCGGCCUGAGAGGGUGGACGGCCACAUUGGGACUGAGAUACGGCCCAGACUCAUACGGGAGGCAGCAGUGGGGAAUAUUGCACAAUGGGCGCAAGCCUGAUGCAGCGACGCCGCGUGGGGGAUGACGGCCUUCGGGUUGUAAACGCCUUUCGCUAGGGACGAAGCUUUUUGUGACGGUACCUAGAUAAGAAGCACCGGCUAACUACGUG